rnacentral:rRNA from 1 species
AGAGUUUCGUAUCCUGGCGUCAGGACGAACGCUGGCGGCGUGCUUAACACAUGUAAGUCGAACGCUUGAAGCGUCAGGCUUUUGUUGGGUGGAUGAGUGGCGAACGGGUGAGUAACACGUGAGUAACCUGCCCUCUUCUUUGGGAUAACGCCCGGAAACGGGUGCUAAUACUGGAUAUUCACUGAUCUUCGCAUGGGGGUUGGUGGAAAGGUUUGUUCUGGUGGGGGAUGGGCUCGCGGCCUAUCAGCUUGUUGGUGGGGUGAUGGCCUACCAAGGCUUUGACGGGUAGCCGGCCUGAGAGGGUGACCGGUCACAUUGGGACUGAGAUACGGCCCAGACUCCUACGGGAGGCAGCAGUGGGGAAUAUUGCACAAUGGGCGAAAGCCUGAUGCAGCGACGCCGCGUGAGGGAUGGAGGCCUUCGGGUUGUAAACCUCUUUCGCUCAUGGUCAAGCCGCGACGUGGGUUGUGGUGAGGGUAGUGGGUAAAGAAGCGCCGGCUAACUACGUG